GAAGAGGGGGAUCUGGCAGGGCUGCUGGGGAGUGGGCUGGCGCUGACACCCGUCUCUCCUGCAGGGUGAUCCGGGAGCACCCGGUGAACCUGGCAAGCCGGUAAGUGAUGCCUUCCUGGUGGUGGUCCACCUGCACCCCCUGACCCCCAGGUGAUGGGGGCAGAGCUGGGGCGUAGGUGCUUCCCCGGGGAGCCAUGGGGGACGCAUCCCCCUGGGCAGGAAGCCGUGCACAGCGCUGUCCUCUCUGCUUCCCCCCAGGCCUCCAGCGUGGCUGGUGUCAAAGGAGAGAAGGGUGACAGAGGCUUUGCGGGACCAGAGGGGCCCCCUGGCCCCAAGGGCAACGCAGGAGAUAAAGGUGCCCCCGGCGCCCCUGGCCUGAGCAUCCCUGGUCCAGCCGGCCCCAAAGGGGAGCAAGGCGACCGGGUAAGUCUGGGGUGAGGGUGUGGGGCUGGGGCUGUGCCCCCCGGGGUGCAGACUUGCACCCCUAGGCCCUUUUCUGGCAUCAGGGCUGCUGCAGUCCCGAUAACCCGUGUCCUCCCUCUCUGACCUCCAGGGUAUCGUUGGCCUCACCGGCAGGAGCGGCCCAAAGGUAAUGGCACUGUGCGAGGUGUCACCCCUCCAUCUGUCCGUCUGUCCAUGCUGCGAGGGG
rnacentral:lncRNA from 1 species